rnacentral:lncRNA from 1 species
GGAAAAAGAAACGAAUAAGGAAAUGGAAAUUGAAUAAGGAAAUGAAAAUCCAAUAAGGAAAUAGAAACCGAAUAAGGAACUAGAAACCGAAAAAGGAAAUGAAUAUUGAAAAAGGAAAAAGAAACCGAAUUAGGAAAUGAAAAUCGAAUAAGGAAAUGGAAAUCGAAUAAGGAAACGAAAAUCCAAUUAGGAAAUAGAAACUGAAUAAGGAAAUAGAAACCGAAAAAGGAAAUGAAUAUUGAAAAAGGAAAAAGAAACCGAAUAAGGAAAUGAAAAUCGAAUAAGGAAAUGGAAAUCGAUUAAGGAAAUGAAAAUCCAAUAAGGAAAUAGAAACUGAAUAAGGAAAUAGAAACCGAAUAAGGAAAUGAAUAUUGAAAAAGGAAAAAGAAACUGAAUAAGGAAAUGAAAAUCGAAUAAGGAAAUGAAAAUCCAAAAAGGAAAUAGAAACCGAAUAAGGAAAUAGAAACCGAAAAAGGAAAUGAAUAUUAAAAAAGGAAGAAGAAACCGAAUAAGGAAAAGAAAAUCGAAUAAGGAAAUGAAAAUCGAAUAAGGAAAUGGAAAUCGAAUAAGGAUGAUAAUCGAAAAAGGAAAAAGAAAACGAAUAAGGAAAUGAAAAUCGAAUAAGGAAAUGGAAAUCGAAUAAGGAAAUGAAAAUCCAAAUAGGAAAAUAGAAACUGAAUAAGGAAAUAGAAACCGAAUAAGGAAAUGAAUAUUGAAAAAGGAAAAAGAAACCGAAUAAGGAAAUGAAAAUUGAAUAAGGAA